rnacentral:rRNA from 1 species
GGCGCAGCUUACCAUGCAGUCGAGCGGUAACAGGGGGUGCUUGCACCCCGCUGACGAGCGGCGGACGGGUGAGUAAUGCAUAGGAAUCUGCCCAGUAGUGGGGGAUAGCCCGGGGAAACCCGGAUUAAUACCGCAUACGCCCUUUGGGGGAAAGCAGGGGAUCUUCGGACCUUGCGCUAUUGGAUGAGCCUAUGUCGGAUUAGCUAGUUGGUGGGGUAAAGGCCUACCAAGGCGACGAUCCGUAGCUGGUCUGAGAGGAUGAUCAGCCACAUCGGGACUGAGACACGGCCCGAACUCCUACGGGAGGCAGCAGUGGGGAAUAUUGGACAAUGGGGGCAACCCUGAUCCAGCCAUGCCGCGUGUGUGAAGAAGGCUUUCGGGUUGUAAAGCACUUUCAGUGAGGAGGAAAACCUUCUGGUUAAUACCCAUGAGGCUUGACGUUACUCACAGAAGAAGCACCGGCUAACUCCGUGCCAGCAGCCGCGGUAAUACGGAGGGUGCAAGCGUUAAUCGGAAUUACUGGGCGUAAAGCGCGCGUAGGUGGUUUGAUAAGCGAGAUGUGAAAGCCCCGGGCUUAACCUGGGAACGGCAUUUCG